UUAUAGCUUUUACUCUUUAAUUACCUUUGC
rnacentral:piRNA from 1 species